rnacentral:rRNA from 1 species
AGUAAUGGCGAAUGAACGGGGAAAAGCUCANCAAAGAAAUCAGGGACCCGGCCUUGAGUUGUGGACUUGAGAGGUAUUGCCAAUGGUGGCGCAGGUGCGGGCCUCUUGGAAAAGGGCACCACAGAGGGCGUGAGUCCUGUUUGUCAUCUGUAGUCCGCCAUGUACGGCAUGACUCCUCAGAGUCACGUUCCUUGGAAUUGGAGCGCGAAGGUGGUGGUGGCUUUCAUCUCAAGCUAAGUAUGGGUUCGAGACCGAUAGCAAACAAGUACCAUGAGGGAAGAUUGAAAAGAGCUUUGGAAAGAGAGUUAAAAGUGCCCGAACUUGCUGAUAGGGAAGCGAAGGGAGCUGACGUUGCUUGGUGACAUAUUCCGCGCAAGAGUAGGAUGGGUUCUGAUUGCAAUCUGCGUAGUGCUUCUUGCCGUGCGUGUCGAUGCCAAGCAAUGAGUGGGGAGAGCACCAGGGAUAAUGAUUGUUUCUGUCCCCGGGUGGCCGAAGGUGCCUGGUCGCAUCCAUUUGUGGGCUGAAACAAAUGGUGGCUGGUUGCAGCGCCCUGUGCCUGCUAGGCAGUUGGGGUGUAGCCCUGAUGCGCAGACGAGGACAAGGUGCUUCUGUUCGACCCGUCUUGAAAC